CAGGAGGUGCUCUCACCCCAGCCCAGUGUGCUGUGCUAUACCGAUGUUCAUGGCUGCAUCAUGCCAUUGUCUGCAGGAUCCGCAAUUGUUGCUGGGCUUUGUGUGGUCUGAGGCUGCAGCUAAGCCCCCUUCCACGGCGGUUUCGGAGGGGAUACCGUUGUCCGGGAUAACGCGAUGGUGCAUGUGAGUGCCGGACGGUGUUUCCGUGUCUCUUUUAAUGCAAUCUGAUGACAUGUCUUUGCUAGCCGGAAUGCCUGCGAACCUGCAUGCUCGUAGCCUAGCGAGAACUUCCCCGGCUCCCAGAAGCGGUGAGGGGAUGACGGGUUGUUGCAGCACCGAGGUAACCCUACACAGCUACUCCGUACACACCACAACAAUCCCCCACUACUUCGCCUCUAAUUCAGUCAUUCCACCAACUCCUCUGGUGAGGAUAUGACUAAGGACGCGAAGGACGGGCAAUAAUAAAAACAGACGCUCGCACACACA